UGAUUAUGGCUCAGAUUGAACGCUGGCGGGAUGCUUUACACAUGCAAGUCGAACGGCAGCACGGACUUCGGUCUGGUGGCGAGUGGCGAACGGGUGAGUAAUGUAUCGGAACGUGCCUAGUAGCGGGGAUAACUACGCGAAAGCGUAGCUAAUACCGCAUACGCCCUUCGGGGGAAAGCGGGGACCUUCGGGCCUCGCACUAUUAGAGCGGCCGAUAUCGGAUUAGCUAGUUGGUGGGGCAACGGCUCACCAAGGCGACGAUCCGUAGCUGGUUUGAGAGGACGACCAGCCACACUGGGACUGAGACACGGCCCAGACUCCCACGGGAGGCAGCAGUGGGGAAUUUUGACAAUGGGGAAGCCUCCUGAUCCAGCCAUCCCGCGUGUGCGAUGAAGGCCUUCGGGCUGUAAAGCACUUUUGGCAGGAAAGAAACGGCACGGGAUAAUACCCCGUGCAAAUCAACGGUACCUGCAUUAUAUUAACUGGUUGGGUCCAUGCACUGCAGCUGUUAAAGAGGCACGAUAGUGCAAGCGUUAAUCGGAAUUACUGGGCGUAAAAGCGUGCGCAGGCGGUUCGGAAAGAAAGAUGUGAAAUCCCAGAGCUUAACUUUGGAACUGCAUUUUUUAACUACCGAGCUAGAGUGUGUCAGAGGGAGUGUGGAAUUUCGCGUGUAGCAGUGAAAUGCGUAGAUAUGCGGAGGAACACCGAUGGCGAAGGCAGCUUCCUGAUAACACUGACGCUCAUGCACGAAAGCGUGGGGAGCAAACAGGAUUAGAUACCCUGGUAGUCCACGCCCUAAACGAUGUCAACUAGCUGUUGGGGCCUUCGGGCCUUGGUAGCGCAGCUAACGCGUGAAGUUGACCGCCUGGGGAGUACGGUCGCAAGAUUAAAACUCAAAGGAAUUGACGGGGACCCGCACAAGCGGUGGAUGAUGUGGAUUAAUUCGAUGCAACGCGAAAACCUUACCUACCCGACAUGUCUGGAAUCCCGAAGAGAUUUGGGAGUGCUCGCAAGAGAACCGGAACACAGGUGCUGCAUGGCUGUCGUCAGCUCGUGUCGUGAGAUGUUGGGUUAAGUCCCGCAACGAGCGCAACCCUUGUCAUUAGUUGCUACGAAAGGGCACUCUAAUGAGACUGCCGGUGACAAACCGAGGAAGGGUGGGGAUGACGUCAAGUCCUCAUGGCCCUUAUGGGUAGGGCUUCACACGUCAUACAAUGGUCGGGACAGAGGGUCGCCAACCCGCGAGGGGAGCCAAUCCCAGAAACCGAUCGUAGUCCGGAUCGCAGUCUGCAACUCGACUGCGUGAAGUCGGAAUCGCUAGUAAUCGCGGAUCAGCAUGUCGCGGUGAAUACGUUCCCGGGUCUUGUACACACCGCCCGUCACACCAUGGGAGUGGGUUUUACCAGAAGUAGUUAGCCUAACCGUAAGGAGGGCGAUUACCACGGUAGGAUCUGGCGAUCAGUAGGUCGUGUCAAGGUAA
rnacentral:rRNA from 1 species